UAUGAAUCGACAGCUUCAAAAUGGUAUCAUUGGUAUUACUGACCAGCUAUUUACUUGUUUUGGCAUCGGUUGGUAUUCAGGAGUGCAGUGCCAAAUGGAAUGGAAACAAUAAACCUGCCUUUUUCGCAACCUUGAAGGAUAUUCAAAAUCUUUAUACCAACACCGUCCUGAAGUUUACACGUGUGAAGACCAACAUUGGGUAUGGAUAUGAUUCCAGAACUGGAAAAUUCAAAACACCCAGGUCUGGGGUAUAUGAAUUUAAUACAAGUUUCAUAACAAAUGGCAACAACUGGCUUGAAUUAAAUUUGAUGAAAAAUGGAGAAUUUAUCGUCAGAUCACAUUCUCACAGGUCCCAUGGUUCCACAGGGACUUUAAAUGUUAUACUGAAACUACGGAAAGGUGACGAGGUAUAUAUUCAACAUCCACGUGGUUUUGGUUCAAUCUAUGGAUGGGAUUACUCCAUGUUUUCCGGACAUAUGUUAUGAUCUUAUAGUUUAUGAUAUAAUCAUUAAAAUCAUAGAACUUGCUAUGUACAUAAUUGUUUAUUUUGUUAUUGUCAAUUGUUGAAAGUAAAUCAUAGCAUUACAUUA